AAAAAUUAAGGAAUGUAGUAAUUUCAUCGGGGCCAAUCAACCAUUUUUCAUUUAGAAAAAUCUAAUACAUGUAUAUAUUAUGAUUGUGUUGACUGGAUGAAUUUCCACCUCUUAUGGAAUGGGUCAAGUUCUUACUCUUUCAUGUCUACAGUACGGUUCAUCCGAUUAUUACAGGGAUGAUCCCAAUCCGGAAUAUGAUCCGUAGAAGAAAACGCCGAUUAAACCGAUCACAAGAAUACCAGUUACAGUACCUAUCAGCCAAAGAGGAAUCCUUCCAGUAGUAUCGGCCAUUUACCUCACUUCCCUCCCCAUUUCAUCAAGUGGUCAUGCUAUAGACAUAAACAGUCAUGGAUAGUUAUGGGUAUGAUAUCCUUCCGAAUGAGAUAAGAGAAUUUCCUUUCUUUCUCUCAAUUGAAGAAAUAAUUGGAAAAUAAAACAGCAAGUACAAAAAUGAGUAAUAACCCCAGUAGAGACUGGUACGAUUCAAUUCAACGUUUUGUUCGUUCGGAUUUGAUUGUGUCGUAGCUCUAUAAUUAAUUCGGAUUAGAUUGAUUUAUUUUAUCGUUGGAUGAACUGCAUUGCUGAUAUUGACCCCAAGAAAAAAACGGUAGGUACAGCUAGUCCGUGAACAGCCAACCAUCUCACUGUGAAAAUUGGAUAGGUUCUAUCUAUGGUCAUUAAGGCCUCCUAAAAGGAUCGACUAAAUUCAUCGAGUUGUUCCAAUGAAUCGAAACGGCCAGUUAUUAAUGGAAUCCCUUGUCUGCUUUCUGUGAAAUAUUCGUUGGGUCGAGGGCUUCCAAACACGUCGUAAGCUAAACCCGUGCUGACGAAUGACCAACCUGCAAUGAAUAGGGAAGGUAUAGUAAUGCUAUGAAUAACCCAGUAUCGAAUACUGGUAAUAAUAUCAGCAAAAGCGCGUUCUCCCGUACUUCCAGACAUGCUGAGCUCCAAUAUUACAGUCAAAGGGGGAUCGAUUUCGUGAAAGAUAGAGAUCAGUAAAUGGAGAAAUACUGAUAUCCAAUCUUUGUGAGAUCGUCAAUAUUGUACCAAGGGUGUAUUUAGAGUAUACCGAAUCAGUAUAGCUAUCUUUCCUCUGACACAGCAAUGUUGUUUCAAUCAGCAUCGAAAAAAAUAGUACAGAAUUCCUUUCUUCCUUUCUUGUUCCUUGUAUAGGCCUAAGCAGGUGUCAUUCAAUAGAAUAGAAAAUUACUUGUAAUAUAAUGUUUUACCGGUUUUGGGAUAGGCUGAAGAUCUUGGUAAAGGUGACUCGAUGGCUUUUAUUUUUUAUUUAUAUUUAAUUAAUCUAUCUUAUCUAAUAAUUCAUGAAUGAAAUUAUCAUAUUCCCACAAUUGAAUGCAAAAUCUGGAAAGGAGUUUUCGUGGUUGUAGAAGUAGAAAAAGGUAUUUUCGUUCUAACCCCUUCCAAUAAGAGGGGUUGUUUGGACAGUACAAUAGCAAAUAGUAUUCGAUAAGGGAAAGUGAACAUAGUUGGAGCAGUCAAAAUUCAUGAUGCAACUAUAAUGGAUUGAACUAAUCUGGUUUUUCAUUAGAUUGUUUCAUUAGGUUCAAUUCAAGGGUUCCCACCUACAAGAAGAUAGGACUACAUCAUGUGAAAAGACAAAAAAAUGUGGAACCCAGAACAACAAAAUAAUUGUAAUUGCUAAUCUUGGAAUCGAGUUGUAUCUGAAAUAACGCUUUUUAUUUCUUUGCUUUGAGAAGUCGUGGGAUACUUUUUUUCUUCUUUUUUCUUCUUUUGAGAUAUCUUAUAUUAUAUUAAAUAUUAAAAAUAUUAAGUUAUAUUAAGUAAGUGAAAAUAAGAAAGAGUCGUUAUCGGUUCGUUCCAAAACGGAUCCAAUUGAAAAGGAAAAGCAAUGAUCCAAGUUGGAAUGAUUUUAAAAUCCAAUUCUUCUUUCUAUCCCAUAGUUUUCCAUGAAAGAGAAUUUCAUUUGUGAAUGAAGUUACAAGACAGAGUUCGUAUUACUAUACGAGUUGUUCAAUCAAUUUGUUGAUUCGGAAUCACGAGAUCAGUAGAUGUCACAGACGAGGAAUUCAUAAGGAAUUCAUAGUAAGGUAAAUUUACUAUUGAUUUUUCCUUCGUCACAUCACGUUUGUUAGUCCUGUUUAUAAUGAAAUGACUGAGAAAUCAAAAGAAAACAAAUUAAAUUAGGACUAACUCUUUCAAUUUGGAUUUUUUCUUAUCAUCGUAGCUCGGUAUCUCGCAAAAACGGAAACUUAGGCAAGUGCUUUAUAAACAUAUGUAUAAAAAGAACGUAUCUCAUUUAGUUCCUUCAUGCCUACUAUAGCUAGUUAUUUCGGUUUUCUACUGACUGCUUCAACUAUAACCCCAGCUCUAUUUAUUGGUCUGAGCAAGAUACGACUUAUUUGAAAUUAAUUGAAUGAACAAUCAAAUCAGAAAAAUGAGAAUUUUAAAAUUCAGAUUUCUGUAAGAUUCCAUUCCAGGUAUUCUAUGGUUUUGACUUCCAGCAUCAAUUGAAAAUUCGUGGACGUUGAGAUUACUGGGUGAUGCAGAUUAUUAUUUGGAUUAGAGAUAGAUAUUACCUUUUCUCCCCUUUCAAACAAGACAACAAAUCGAAAUGAUUGAAGUUUUUUUAUUUGGAAUCGUGUUAGGUCUAAUUCCUAUUACUUUAGCCGGAUUGUUUGUAACUGCAUAUUUACAAUACAGACGCGGCGAUCAGUUGGACUUUUGAUUGAGUAAGAUUUCUUUUUUCUUGUCAUUGACCUCCUAUCCUUGACCCUCAGGAGGUCAAAUUGAAUUCGAUUGAUGUUCGCAAUUCAAGUUAAUGUGAUUCGAUACAAAGUAGCAUCACGCUCUGUAGGAUUUGAACCUACGACAUCGGGUUUUGGAGACCCGCGUUCUACCAAACUGAACUAAGAGCGCUUUAUCACGACAAGAGAUAAUCUUUUCCCAAUACUUCUUAGCUUGCAUAUAGUAUCAUUAAAUGAUACUAAUGAUCAUGCCAUCCCCAAUUUCAAUUGAUCCCAUGUUACUGCCUGUAAGAUAAGUAAUAGGUAGGGAUGACAGGAUUUGAACCCGUGACAUUUUGUACCCAAAACAAACGCGCUACCAAACUGCGCUACAUCCCUUUCAAUUGUUGUACAGUGUCAUUGUAGAGAAUCCCUGUCUUCUUUUCCACACCGUUAUUUCCUUUAAAUAUAUCUAUAUACAUUUCUCUUGCCAUUUUUUCUUUUUGGUCUCAUAACAUAAAAUAAAAGAGUUAGAAUUAUGUAUAUAUGAAAUCCAAGGUGAAAUACAACGUAUAAAAGAA